rnacentral:misc_RNA from 1 species
CGCACCUUGCGCUCCUUGGUAUUCCGAGGAGCAUGCCUGUUUGAGUGUCUUGAAGUCAUCAACCCCUCACGUUUCGUGCGUCGGGAAGGUUGGAUCUGGGGGCUUGCGGCCGCGAGGCCGCUCCCCUCGAAUGCAUCGGUUGGGCCUGUGGGUCGGACCCUCGGUUGGGCGUUGUACCAUCCUCGCUCCUCGUUCCGAGAAGGUUUCCCCGCGACUGUGCCCUCCCCCGACCUCCUCUGGAGCGGCGGUCAAAACAAAACACUUUGAAAUCUGACCUCAAAUCAGGCAGGACUACCCGCUGAACUUAA